GGAUGGAUGGCCGAGUGGUUUAAGGCACUGGUCUUGAAAACCAGCGAACUGAAAGGUUCCGUGGGUUCGAAUCCCACUCCAUCCG
rnacentral:tRNA from 1 species